rnacentral:rRNA from 1 species
UACGAAGGGGGCUAGCGUUGCUCGGAAUCACUGGGCGUAAAGCGCACGUAGGCGGAUCGUUAAGUCGGGGGUGAAAUCCUGGAGCUCAACUCCAGAACUGCCUUCGAUACUGGCGAUCUUCGAGUCCGGGAGAGGUGAGUGGAACUCCGAGUGUAGAGGUGAAAUUCGUAGAUAUUCGCAAGAACACCAGUGGCGAAGGCGGCUCACUGGCCCGGUACUGACGCUGAGGUGCGAAAGCGUGGGGAGCAAACAGG